CGAAAGCCUGACGGAGCAAUACCGCGUGAGGGAGGAAGGCUCUUGGGUUGUAAACCUCUUUUCUCAGGGAAGAAUGAUGACGGUACCUGAGGAAUAAGCAUCGGCUAACUCCGUGCCAGCAGCCGCGGUAAUACGGAGGAUGCAAGCGUUAUCCGGAAUGAUUGGGCGUAAAGCGUCCGCAGGUGGCAAUGUAAGUCUGCUGUCAAAGCGUCUGGCUCAACCAGAUAAAGGCAGUGGAAACUACAUAGCUAGAGUAAGGUAGGGGUAGAGGGAAUUCCUGGUGUAGCGGUGAAAUGCGUAGAGAUCAGGAAGAACACCGGUGGCGAAAGCGCUCUGCUGGACCUUAACUGACACUGAGGGACGAAAGCUAGGGGAGCG
rnacentral:rRNA from 3 species